rnacentral:lncRNA from 1 species
UUGCAGGACUCUCCGAUCAACUUGCGCCGUGUGAAGAAAAUCGACUUCGAUCAACAUCGCAUGUGCUUGACAUUACUACUCAGACCUUCUAGGCCUGUAUAUCGUGAUCAUGGCAUGUAGACCUAUAACCGACAACCAGGAAAAGUGGACCAGUCAGACAAAGUCACUGAACCCAUUCUUUGGAAAAGAACACAUCUAUAGGUACAUAGAAAGCAAAGGUGCUCAAAAACAUCGUGAUGCUGGGAUACGCCUCUUCACUUCAGGACAUUUGCAGAAGCUGCAGUUUUUGGAAGGCAGUGGUGCAGAGACCGUUGUACGUGCAGAAGUGCUAGC